GAUGAACGCUGGCGGCGUGCCUAAUACAUGCAAGUCGAGCGAACAGACGAGGAGCUUGCUCCUCUGACGUUAGCGGCGGACGGGUGAGUAACACGUGGAUAACCUACCUAUAAGACUGGGAUAACUUCGGGAAACCGGAGCUAAUACCGGAUAAUAUAUUGAACCGCAUGGUUCAAUAGUGAAAGACGGUUUUGCUGUCACUUAUAGAUGGAUCCGCGCCGCAUUAGCUAGUUGGUAAGGUAACGGCUUACCAAGGCAACGAUGCGUAGCCGACCUGAGAGGGUGAUCGGCCACACUGGAACUGAGACACGGUCCAGACUCCUACGGGAGGCAGCAGUAGGGAAUCUUCCGCAAUGGGCGAAAGCCUGACGGAGCAACGCCGCGUGAGUGAUGAAGGUCUUCGGAUCGUAAAACUCUGUUAUUAGGGAAGAUCAAAUGUGUAAGUAACUAUGCACGUCUUGACGGUACCUAAUCAGAAAGCCACGGCUAACUACGU
rnacentral:rRNA from 1 species